GAGGAUAGAGGUUGAAAAGUAUCCGCCUCCAACGCGCCACUUAGCUAGUGGGUCGAGAAAUGCGGGCGACAUUCGGCGGUCCCGCGCCUAUCCUU
ncrna:unclassified sequences skipping-rope RNA